rnacentral:rRNA from 1 species
AUUGAACGCUGGCGGCAUGCUUUACACAUGCAAGUCGAACGGUAACAGGGAGCUUGCUCCGCUGCCGAGUGGCGAACGGGUGAGUAAUAUAUCGGAACGUACCCAAGAGUGGGGGAUAACGUAGCGAAAGUUACGCUAAUACCGCAUACGAUCUAAGGAUGAAAGCAGGGGACCUUCGGGCCUUGUGCUCCUGGAGCGGCCGAUAUCUGAUUAGCUAGUUGGUGAGGUAAAGGCUCACCAAGGCGACGAUCAGUAGCUGGUCUGAGAGGACGACCAGCCACACUGGAACUGAGACACGGUCCAGACUCCUACGGGAGGCAGCAGUGGGGAAUUUUGGACAAUGGGCGCAAGCCUGAUCCGGCAAUGCCGCGUGAGUGAAGAAGGCCUUCGGGUUGUAAAGCUCUUUUGUCAGGGAAGAAACGGGAUUGGCUAAUAUCCAGUCCUAAUGACGGUACCUGAAGAAUAAGCACCGGCUAACUACGUG